GUCGAACGAUGAUCCGGUGCUUGCACCGGGGAUUAGUGGCGAACGGGUGAGUAACACGUGAGUAACCUGCCCUUGACUCUGGGAUAAGCCUGGGAAACUGGGUCUAAUACCGGAUAUGACUUCUCAUCGCAUGGUGGGGGGUGGAAAGCUUUUUGUGGUUUUGGAUGGACUCGCGGCCUAUCAGCUUGUUGGUGGGGUAAUGGCCUACCAAGGCGACGACGGGUAGCCGGCCUGAGAGGGUGACCGGCCACACUGGGACUGAGACACGGCCCAGACUCCUACGGGAGGCAGCAGUGGGGAAUAUUGCACAAUGGGCGAAAGCCUGAUGCAGCGACGCCGCGUGAGGGAUGACGGCCUUCGGGUUGUAAACCUCUUUCAGUAGGGAAGAAGCCCUUCGGGGUGACGGUACUUGCAGAAGAAGCGCCGGCUAACUACGUGCCAGCAGCCGCGGUAAUACGUAGGGCGCAAGCGUUAUCCGGAAUUAUUGGGCGUAAAGAGCUCGUAGGCGGUUUGUCGCGUCUGCUGUGAAAGACCGGGGCUCAACUCCGGUUCUGCAGUGGGUACGGGCAGACUAGAGUGCAGUAGGGGAGACUGGAAUUCCUGGUGUAGCGGUGAAAUGCGCAGAUAUCACGAGG
rnacentral:rRNA from 1 species